AAGAGGGAAAAAACAUAAGAAAACCUGAGAAACCAUUUGGUUCAUGGGUCUCACAUGUCAUUGGUAAAGCUUGUUUAAGGGACAAAAUGAUGGAACUUUUAGUUGAGUUCUUCAUUAAAACUUAUUAGCAUUCUUUUAUUUUCCUCUGGAGGGGCCCAGGUGACAGUUUGCACUUCUUAUUACCUGGUGUCCCCACUUGCUGAGUACUCCUUUGCCCUGUUUCAGGGCGCAGAUGAAAUCUAUCUUCUGUCUUAGAAGACACGGAGGUGGGGGGAGAAUCAAGUUUAAACACUAGAAAAAUGAAAACAGAUGCGUGGAAGGGAAGACAGGCUAGUGGGAGUGGAGAGACCGGAAGCCCUUCCCAGUGCUGGCAGCAUCUGUGCCCCACUCCUCCCCAGAAACCCGCCCCUCAGCCUCCCAGGAGGGGCCAGCCUCACAAAGGGGCGCCAAGCAGGGAAUAGCGCCUCUUGAGAGGGAAACCUCCCUUGGAAGCCUCAGCCAGGAUUUUUUCAAUAAACCCUUUGCAAUUAAUUGCACAGAGAGCAGCGUUUGCGAAGAGCAGCCGGCGGGGGCGAUGGCGUGAGCUGAGCAGCGACGCGAAGCCAGUCCGGGCGGGAGACUGGACACUGGCCGCUCUUGUGGACGCGGCCUGCCCACAGCAGUCAGGCCGGCCAUCCAUCACCCGCCGCCGAGGGGCUACCAGGCCUGAGCCGGCGCCUCCCCGCCCAGACACUGGCCCUCAGCAGGGGACUGACGUCAGCGCCCCCGCCCCCGCCCAAGUCAGAUACCCAGUCCUGCGCCUCUGGCCUCUGGAGACGGCGGGCGGCCGCCCCCAUCCCGCCUACGCCCGCGUUUCCCACUCAGUCUUCAUGACCUGGGAGGGAGCCCUCCUCUCCGAAUAAAAUACCCUUCCUUAACUUGCCCGUGUAACGCAGCUUCUCACAGGAAGCCUCCCGACCUGUUUUUACAGCGGAAUGUGGAGUAGUGAGAGGAGGUAACUUUUCUUGUGACACAGGAGGAGCUUGGCCAGGAGGCUAUUGGUCUUGUUAUUGGAACUGUGUGUGCUCAGCUGGGAUGAACAGUGCUGAGAACCCUGACAGGCAUGCAGGAAGCACCAGAAGAAGGACCCGAGAGUCAUCAUGGCAGGAGGUGGGCUCACUCACAUAGUUCUCACUGCACACACACAAGAUUUACACCUCUCAGGCUUGUUCACCAGAAUAAAUACCAACUGGAAAGAAAACCUCCACAAUGUCUGCCAAUGAGCAUUUCAUACAACUCCCAAACAAUUCCUGGACAUACUUGUAUGGGGGGACACCAGCCCAGAAGCAGAGGAGGGGCCAAGUUAUGCCAGGAGCGUCGUUGCUCUGCCUUUGUCUAGCUUGUCUUACCUGCUGAAUGUACCACAGAAGACAGCAGGUUUGUGGAUUUCAGCCAGUGCCAGGAUCCUGGCCAAACUAGGCAAAGGUGCUGGAGGACACUAACCUACGCAUCGCUCUCCUCCCAGGGCUCUGGGCUGUGAGGAGGAGGGUCUGCAUUUCGGGGAAGCCUGGGCAUCCUGAGACAAGGUGGCACCACAAGGUGCCUUGACGUCCUGACAGGAGGUCUCUGGACAUAAAGCAAAACAGCAGAAGCAUUUGACUGGCUGGACCUUGCCUGUAACUCCCUUGACUGUUAAAUAAUUGCUGGGGAUCAACACAGGUAAUCACUCCACUUUCACCAAAUACAGGAGGACAUGGAAAUGUGCAGCACUUGAGCACCUAAGUGGGAUUAUUUCUCUCUCCUCCAACAUCACUCCAUCUCCAAGUCUCUGAAGGCUUUCUUACAGUGGUUAAAGUUGCUUCCAUUCAUCUUCCAACCAUAAAGGAUCUACUGAUUCGUUUUCUUUUGUUUUUAUUAUGUAUCAUAUCAGCUUCUGCUGCUUUAGUUUAUAAUUACAUUGUGAGGAGAAAUUAUAAGGAGAAAAACAUUUAUGUCCAUAUAUGUACAUACACACACACACACACACACACACAUACACACAACAUACGUAACAUAUAUCAACCAAAUAUCAGCUGAAAUUUACAAGGAAGAAAAAUUCAGAAAUAUGUGAAGACUGAAAGCUCCGCCAGAGUAAGGAUGAAGGCAGUUUUGUUCACCAUUGUGUCCCCGUGCCUCAUACAUGCCUGAUACUUGGCAUGUCUUCAACAAAUAUGGAUGAACGAAUAAGUGAAUCCAGCUCUUCACCAGAGAUUACAAUAGCAUUGAAAGUAAAGCCGUGAGUAGAAAACAUCUAACUUCUUUUCAUGAAACAAACACCAAUAGCAGUAAAAUCUUAGAGUCUUUUGUUAUAUAAGUUACAAUUUGCCUUAUUCAGAGAAAUGAACAACCUUAAGGGCCAUCAAUAAAAUCAGUGGGAAGCAGUAGGACAAUGUGAGAAAACAAAGUACCUGACUCCAUUUUCUUGCGUUUCCAGCACAAAGAGAAAAUUAAAUUUACUUCCAUAUGUUUUAUGAACUGUUCUUCACUAAAAAUAAUAUAUUUUAUCAGAAAACAAAAUGAUUGAUGAAAGACUAAAGGACCACUUUAAUUCCUGCAUCUUGGGUUGAGUUGGCAUCUGUGCCCACUGCGCCAGCAGAGCCACCCCUCUGACUCUCCAAAGUCCUCUGGGUCAACCCCUCCUUCCCCGAGAGUACUCUUCAACCCAGAGGCAGUCGGGGCCUGCGCAGCCCAGUCUGCAUGUGUCAGAGAGGAAUUGAAGCAGAGCAAGUGCAUUCUAGUUGACAUUUUGUUUCAUCUCUACAACUGAUGGCUCCUGGAAGCCAUCUGUUUUCUGGCUAGAAGGGUGGAUUUCUUGAGGUUAGGGCAAAGGUAUAUCAGGAUAAAGAAGGCAGAGUGUACCUCUUAGACCCUAGCCAAUUCACAGAUGUCCCCUCUCUCUAGACUGUGUUUGUCCCCACACAACCUCAUGUUUGUUGAUCAUCUCAGCAACACAUGAUUUUGGAAAAGAGAAAAAAAUAUUCCCCAAAUAGGGCAUUUGCCACAAAUUCUUACACAUUUUGACCAAACAAAGGAUUCCAACCAUGAGCCACAAUAAAGUCAGAUAAGCAAGGAUGGCCCUGCAUAGUGCCCGAGGCUCUGAACCUCUGGGAGCAGUGUCCUCUUCUCUGAGCAGUACAGAAAGGCCUUUAAGACACAAUGAAUCAGGGAGAUCUCCAGUGAGAGCAAGUGGCAGUUUUAUUCUUAUUUUAUCUUCAGCAGGAUGUUUUCAUAAGGUAUGAGACACAUUUGUUUUGAUCUAUGACUUUGUUAAAUAAAUUCACCCCAAAUGAGUGCCACCAAACUGUAUCUGAUUCCCAAGAGGAGAAAAGGCCUCAGUCACCACAGUAGAAUUCUCAGGUGACCAAUCGCCCUUAGAAAGUGAGAGUGUUCAAAGCUUUGGCAGGUCCAACAGCAAAAUUAAACCCUAUGAACUAAUUAUCCACCCUCACAGAAAGGGCAGGGCUUCGUGGGAAGUGCAUAAUCCGUGGCUUGCUGUGAAACACAUCCAAUAAACAGGUUUCACAAUCUCCAGGAAGCCAAGUGUCAGGAGCCGUGUGUGUGUGUGUGUGUGUGUGUGUGGGAAAGCUGCCCUAUGGGUGAGGUGAGUGGCAAGGCGUGGGUUCUGAGGGCUGGGCCCAGUGAGCGGCCAGGUGACAAAGCGGCACAGCAGGUUUCAGCUCCCAGCAGGCUCCCAGUCUAUGGAACACCCUGGGAAAUUUUCUCACGCUGUUGAUAGGAUGGGAACCUGGCACAGUCCUUAUAGCCUAAGUCCAUUCUGUAAAAUGACAUUUAUUGGGGUUCUUGCUUGAUUAAUUGUAAUGCAUGAAAGUAAUACACAUUUUAACACAGUUUUGAAAAAAUGAAAAAAUACAUAGAAGCACAACAAAACACUUGAUGGUUAGACCAUUCUGUUUGCUUUAGAACAUUUUUAUUUUAUUGAGCACUAGGAGCACAGGAGCUGGGAAGCUAAGCCUUGUUAAUGGUUUUUAAAGUAACCAAAUCAUCUAGUCAGAUUUAUGUGUAUGUGUGUGUGAGGAAGAUUGUCGCUGAGCUAACAUCUGUG